UACGUAGGGUGCGAGCGUUGUCCGGAAUUAUUGGGCGUAAAGAGCUCGUAGGCGGUCUGUCGCGUCGGCUGUGAAAUCCCGAGGCUCAACCUCGGGUCUGCAGUCGAUACGGGCAAACUAGAGUAUUGCAGGGGAGACUGGAAUUCCUGGUGUAGCGGUGAAAUGCGCAGAUAUCAGGAGGAACACCGGUGGCGAAGGCGGGUCUCUGGGCCGAAACUGACGCUGAGGAGCGAAAGCGUGGGGAGCAAACAGG
rnacentral:rRNA from 1 species